rnacentral:rRNA from 1 species
UACGUAGGGACCGAGCGUUGUCCGGAUUCAUUGGGCGUAAAGCGCGCGCAGGCGGUCCUUUAAGUCUGAUGUGAAAGCCCACGGCUCAACCGUGGAGGGUCAUUGGAAACUGGGGGACUUGAGUACAGAAGAGGAAAGCGGAAUUCCACGUGUAGCGGUGAAAUGCGUAGAGAUGUGGAGGAACACCAGUGGCGAAGGCGGCUUUCUGGUCUGUAACUGACGCUGAGGCGCGAAAGCGUGGGGAGCAAACAGG